rnacentral:rRNA from 1 species
UUGUUGGUAAGGUAAAAGCUUACCAAGGCUUCGAUCAGUAGCUGGUCUGAGAGGACGACCAGCCACACUGGGACUGAGACACGGCCCAGACUCCUACGGGAGGCAACAGUGGGGAAUUUUGGACAAUGGGGGCAACCCUGAUCCAGCCAUGCCGCGUGAGUGAAGAAGGCRUUCGUUGUAAAGCUCUUUCAGCCGGAACGAAACGGUUACGGAUAACACCCGUGACUACUGACGGUACCGGAAGAAGAAGCACCGGCUAACUACGUGCCAGCAGCCGCGGUAAUACGUAGGGUGCGAGCGUUAAUCGGAAUUACUGGGCGUAAAGCGUGCGCAGGUGGUUUUGUAAGUCAGAUGUGAAAGCCCCGGGCUCAACCUGGGAACUGCGUUUGAAACUACAAGACUAGAGUGUGGCAGAGGGGGGUGGAAUUCCGCGUGUAGCAGUGAAAUGCGUAGAGAUGUGGAGGAACACCGAUGGCGAAGGCAGCCCCCUGGGUCAACACUGACGCUCAGGCACGAAAGCAUGGGGAGCAAACAGGAUUAGAUACCCUGGUAGUCCAUGCCCUAAACGAUGUCAACUAGUUGUCGGGCCUUUACGGGCUUGGUAACGUAGCUAACGCGUGAAGUUGACCGCCUGGGGAGUACGAUCGCAAGAUUAAAACUCAAAUGAAUUGACGGGGACCCGCACAAGCGGUGGAUUAUGUGGAUUAAUUCGAUGCAACGCGAAAAACCUUACCUACCCUUGACAUGUAUCGAAGCCCGCAGAAAAGCGGGGGUGCCCGAAAGGGAACGAUAACACAGGUGCUGCAUGGCUGUCGUCAGCUCGUGUCGUGAGAUGUUGGGUUAAGUCCCGCAACGAGCGCAACCCUUGUCAUUAAUUGCCAUCAUUUAGUUGGGCACUUUAAUGAGACUGCCGG